rnacentral:rRNA from 1 species
UACGAAGGGGGCGAGCGUUGUUCGGAAUUACUGGGCGUAAAGGGUGCGUAGGUGGUUUGUUAAGUCUGCUGUGAAAUCCCCGGGCUCAACCUGGGAAUGGCAGUGGAUACUGGCAAGCUAGAGUGCGGUAGAGGGUAGUGGAAUUCCCGGUGUAGCAGUGAAAUGCGUAGAGAUCGGGAGGAACACCAGUGGCGAAGGCGGCUACCUGGACCAGAACUGACACUGAAGCACGAAAGCGUGGGGAGCAAACAGG